AGGGAAGGGACAAUUUUUGUGAAAGACGAUGCGUUUUACACCCAUUCCCCGCCCCCUGCCGUCAUCUGGAGACUCUGCCCUCUGAUGUCACCCGGAGACCCCCCAUUCAGCAUGGAACUGUGGUCGGAGAAUCGUCACAUGGGAAGGAUUUAGUGAAGCUGGAAACAUUCUCUUGUCUUUUUGGAAAUGUUAUUUUCUAGGACGCAGCCUCAUCCAAGCCUUGGGCUCCCAUUCCAUCGGUUCAGAAUUCUCUGCGUUCAGAAUGAGGUCAGAACCAGAAACCGAGGCCGGUCUCUGAGAAAAAUCAGGUCCUGUGAUUUGAAAGCCAG
rnacentral:lncRNA from 1 species